GGUUAAGUGAAUAAGGGCGCACGGUGGAUGCCUUGGCACUAGGAGCCGAUGAAGGACGGGACUAACACCGAUAUGCUUUGGGGAGUUGUACGUAAGCUAUGAUCCAGAGAUUUCCGAAUGGGGGAACCCAGCAUCUUUAAUAGGAUGUUACGAUUGUGUGAAUACAUAGCACAUUCGAGGUAGACGCAGAGAACUGAAACAUCUAAGUACCUGCAGGAAGAGAAAGAAAAUUCGAUUCCCUGAGUAGCGGCGAGCGAAACGGGAAAAGCCCAAACCAACAAGCUUGCUUGUUGGGGUUGUAGGACUCCAAUAUGGUCGUUCUUUCAGAUAGUCGAAUGACUUGGAAAAGUCAGUCAAAGAGGGUAAAAACCCCGUAGACGAAAUGUGGAAGACACCUAGGAGGAUCCUGAGUACGGCGGAACACGAGAAAUUCCGUCGGAAUCCGGGAGGACCAUCUCCCAAGGCUAAAUACUCCCUAGUGACCGAUAGUGAACCAGUACCGUGAGGGAAAGGUGAAAAGCACCCCGGAAGGGGAGUGAAAUAGAACCUGAAACCGUGUGCCUACAACAAGUCAAAGCCCGUUAAUGGGUGAUGGCGUGCCUUUUGUAGAAUGAACCGGCGAGUUACGAUUGCAUGCGAGGUUAAGUUGAAGAGACGGAGCCGCAGCGAAAGCGAGUCUGAAUAGGGCGUUUGAGUAUGUAGUCGUAGACCCGAAACCAUGUGAUCUACCCAUGUCCAGGUUGAAGGUGCGGUAAAACGCACUGGAGGACCGAACCCACGUACGUUGAAAAGUGCGGGGAUGAGGUGUGGGUAGCGGAGAAAUUCCAAACGAACUUGGAGAUAGCUGGUUCUCUCCGAAAUAGCUUUAGGGCUAGCCUCGGAAUUGAGAAUGAUGGAGGUAGAGCACUGUUUGGACUAGGGGCCCAUCUCGGGUUACCGAAUUCAGAUAAACUCCGAAUGCCAUUCAUUCAUAUCCGGGAGUCAGACUGUGAGUGAUAAGAUCCAUAGUCGAAAGGGAAACAGCCCAGACCACCAGCUAAGGUCCCAAAAUAUAUGUUAAGUGGAAAAGGAUGUGGGGUUGCACAGACAACUAGGAUGUUGGCUUAGAAGCAGCCACCAUUUAAAGAGUGCGUAAUAGCUCACUAGUCGAGUGACCCUGCGCCGAAAAUGUACCGGGGCUAAACAUAUUACCGAAGCUGUGGAGUACACCUUUAGGUGUAUUGGUAGGAGAGCGUUCUAAGGGCGUCGAAGGCAGAUCGUGAGGACUGCUGGAGCGCUUAGAAGUGAGAAUGCCGGUAUGAGUAGCGAAAGACAGGUGAGAAUCCUGUCCACCGAAUGACUAAGGUUUCCUGGGGAAGGCUCGUCCGCCCAGGGUUAGUCGGGACCUAAGCCGAGGCCGAUAGGCGUAGGCGAUGGAUAACAGGUUGAUAUUCCUGUACCCGUUGUUUUUGUUUGAGCAAUGGAGGGACGCAGGAGGCUAAGGAAUGCAGACGAUCGGAAAUGUCUGUCCAAGCAGUAAGUCUGAAGAGGAGUCAAAUGCUUCUUUUCUUAAGGACAAGCUGUGAUGGGGAGGGAAAUAAUAGUACCGAAGUUCCUGAUGUCACACUGCCGAGAAAAGCUUCUAGUGAGAAAACAGCGGCCCGUACCGCAAACCGACACAGGUAGUCGAGGAGAGAAUCCUAAGGUGAGCGAGAGAACUCUCGUUAAGGAACUCGGCAAAAUGACCCCGUAACUUCGGGAGAAGGGGUGCUGAUCAUACGAUCAGCCGCAGUGAAUAGGCCCAAGCGACUGUUUAUCAAAAACACAGGUCUCUGCAAAAUCGUAAGAUGAAGUAUAGGGGCUGACGCCUGCCCGGUGCUGGAAGGUUAAGAGGAGUGCUUAGCGCAAGCGAAGGUACGAAUUGAAGCCCCAGUAAACGGCGGCCGUAACUAUAACGGUCCUAAGGUAGCGAAAUUCCUUGUCGGGUAAGUUCCGACCCGCACGAAAGGCGUAACGAUUUGGGCACUGUCUCAACGAGAGACUCGGUGAAAUUUUAGUACCUGUGAAGAUGCAGGUUACCCGCGACAGGACGGAAAGACCCCAU
rnacentral:rRNA from 1 species